rnacentral:rRNA from 1 species
UACGGAGGGUGCAAGCGUUAAUCGGAAUUACUGGGCGUAAAGCGCACGCAGGCGGUCUGUCAAGUCGGAUGUGAAAUCCCCGGGCUCAACCUGGGAACUGCAUCCGAAACUGGCAGGCUAGAGUCUUGUAGAGGGGGGUAGAAUUGCCAGGUGUACGCGGUGAAAAUG